rnacentral:rRNA from 1 species
AACGAACGCUGGCGGCAUGCCUAACACAUGCAAGUCGAACGAGACCUUCGGGUCUAGUGGCGCACGGGUGCGUAACGCGUGGGAACCUGCCUUUAGGUUCGGAAUAACUCAGAGAAAUUUGAGCUAAUACCGGAUGAUGUCUUCGGACCAAAGAUUUAUCGCCUUUAGAUGGGCCCGCGUUGGAUUAGCUAGUUGGUGGGGUAAAGGCCUACCAAGGCGACGAUCCAUAGCUGGUCUGAGAGGAUGAUCAGCCACACUGGGACUGAGACCCGGCCCAGACUCCUACGGGAGGCAGCAGUGGGGAAUAUUGGAAAAUGGGCGAAAGCCUGAUCCAGCAAUGCCGCGUGAGUGAUGAAGGCCUUAGGGUUGUAAAGCUCUUUUACCCGAGAUGAUAAUGACAGUAUCGGGAGAAUAAGCUCCGGCUAACUCCGUG